GCAUCAUGAUUGAUAAGUUAUUUUGCAUACAUAAUCAUAUCUCAUACUGUCUAAGUUCAAUCCUAUUGUUAUCUGAUGCUAUUGCCUAUGUUUAAUCCAUCAAUGAAAGUCUUGCAUCAAUUAGAAAUUGUCUAAGUUGUUUGCAUCAUUGGUUUUGAUUGAAACUGUUGUGCAUAGCCUUAAUAUUGCUCAUGGAUUGAACCUGUUGCAUUCAUAUAGCUAAAGCUUUAAGAUUGUGCAUUCAUGUAGUAAUGCAUUUAAAAAUGAGCCUAAAUUGCAAAUGUGCUGAUAAGCUUGUAUUGCAUUUAGAG
rnacentral:lncRNA from 1 species